UGGGCAGGGGCUUUAAUUUCGAAUUGAAUUAAGAUACAAAUAUUUCAAUGUCGGUUUAUUUCAUUCAUUUUGGGUAGCCAAACGUUAGGUUCGUUUAAAUUGUUUGUGUGUUUUUCUUUUACUUGCUUUCAAUAUUGUAUAUUCAUUCUCGGGUGGGAUGUCCCAGAAGAAAACAAAAAUGUGAAAAAAAAUGGAGGCCGUUCGUGGAGAAGACCCCAGGAUGUCGGGGAUAGCUUAGUAUAGUUUAGCAUAGCGUAGUUUAGGUUUAUUUUCUCGCAUUUUUUCUUUUAUUUCGGGUUGUAAUAAUUCAGACUUUAUUUUCAAACUUUUCUUGGUGC